rnacentral:rRNA from 1 species
UACGUAGGGGGCAAGCGUUGUCCGGAAUCAUUGGGCGUAAAGCGCGGGCAGGUGGCCCUUUAAGUCCUUUGUGAAAUUCCGGAGCUCAACUCCGGAUGUGCAUAGGAUACUGGAAGGCUAGAGACUGGUAGAGGCGAGCGGAAUUCCUGGUGUAGCGGUGGAAUGCGUAGAUAUCAGGAAGAACACCGGUGGCGAAGGCGGCUCGCUGGGCCAGUUCUGACACUCAUCCGCGAAAGCGUGGGGAGCAAACAGG